AUUAAACGCUGGCGGCAUGCCUUACACAUGCAAGUCGAACGGCAGCACGGGGGCAACCCUGGUGGCGAGUGGCGAACGGGUGAGUAAAGCAUCGGAACGUGCCCUGGAGUGGGGGAUAACGUAGCGAAAGUUACGCUAAUACCGCAUACGAUCUAAGGAUGAAAGCGGGGGACUCGCAAGAGCCUCGCGCGAUUGGAGCGGCCGAUAUCAGAUUAGGUAGUUGGUGGGGUAAAGGCUCACCAAGCCAACGAUCUGUAGCUGGUCUGAGAGGACGACCAGCCACACUGGAACUGAGAACACGGUCCAGACUCCUACGGGAGGCAGCAGUGGGGAAUUUUGGACAAUGGACGCAAGUCUGAUCCAGCCAUUCCGCGUGCAGGAUGAAGGCCCUCGGGUUGUAAACUGCUUUUGUACGGAACGAAAAGGUUUCUAUUAAUACUAGGAGCUCAUGACGGUACCGUAAGAAUAAGCACCGGCUAACUACGUAG
rnacentral:rRNA from 1 species